GCCUGUCUAGCUCAGUCACUGAUUGUAUAACCGAGCUCUUAACCUUGUGGUUGUGGGUUCGAGCCCCACGGUGGGCG
rnacentral:tRNA from 7 species